UUCACGCGGCCCCGCGCCUCUCCACACGGCCCCGCAGCGCUGCACACGGCCCCACAGCGCCUCAGCCCCCCCCCCCUGAGGGCUUCGAGUCCUCACACGGCCCUGUGGGAGCCCAGAGGAGGCUGCGGGGCUGUGUGUGUGGGGAGUUAACAGGGAUUUAACGAGGCCAAGUCCUGCACUUGGGCCGUAACAACCCCGUGCAACCUUGUAGUCAUAGGGAAAAGCGGCUGGAAAGCUGCCCGCCAGCAAAGGAGUUGGGAUAUGGGUCAACAGGGAGCUUAAUACGAGGCGGCAGUGUGCCCAGGUGGCCAAGAAAGCAAACAGCAUCCUGGCUUCUGUCAGCAACGGUGUGGCUAGCAGGACUGGGAUAAUGAUGGUGCCCCUGUACCUGGCACUGCCCAUGGAAGACCUGCAGGAGAUCCAAGGGCAAAGAGAAGUGGCUGCUGUCACGUUGCCUGCCCUGUCUUUAGCUGCCAAGGCUCUUCUGGAGAUGCCUCACCAGCAAGGUCUGGCUCAUCUUUACUCUCCACCAUCCUCUCUGCAGCAAAGGGCUGCUGUCCUGGCCAAAAUUAAUGGACAGCUUGGAGCUACCCUGCUGAGUGCUGUGGGGUGAGCUCUGGCAAGUCAUUCUUUCUCCUCGUGCCCCGAUGCACAAGAUGAGCCACAGAGGACCAGAAAUAAUCACAGAUGCAUAGAAACAGUGCAGAAGCUUAAGGAGAAGAAGGUGCCAUUAGCUUAAUCUAACUGUAAUACCUUACAAUUAUACUUACCCUCGUUAUUUAAUUCCCAGAGAAAGAUAUCUUAAUAAGAGUUACAAAAGCUUACAGUUCACCUUUCUCUUCUUUCCUUCCAAAAGCUAAUGCAGAACAAGGACAGAUGUAAAUAUGCUUUGGAAAGGAGAGCUCUAAUUUUGGACUGGGUACCAGCAGUGGAAAAGCCAGUGUAACAAAAGAGUAAUUGCUGAAAGUGAGACUGGCAGAGACCUUCAGAGAUUAUCUGAAUCCACUCUCUUAACAGCAGAGCAAACCCCCAAUUGGCCUCAUUAAACCUAUUGACACGA